ACGGAAGGCAGCAGUGGGGAAUAUUGCACAAUGGGCGAAAGCCUGAUGCAGCGACGCCGCGUGAGUGAUGAAGUAUUUCGGUAUGUAAAGCUCUAUCAGCAGGGAAGAUAAUGACGGUACCUGACUAAGAAGCACCGGCUAAAUACGUGCCAGCAGCCGCGGUAAUACGUACGGUGCAAGCGUUAUCCGGAUUUACUGGGUGUAAAGGGAGCGCAGGCGGUACGGCAAGUCUGAUGUGAAAGCCCGGGGCUCAACCCCGGUACUGCAUUGGAAACUGUCGAACUAGAGUGUCGGAGGGGUAAGUGGAAUUCCUAGUGUAGCGGUGAAAUGCGUAGAUAUUAGGAGGAACACCAGUGGCGAAGGCGACUUACUGGACGAUAACUGACGCUGAGGCUCGAAAGCGUGGGGAGCAAACAGGAUUAGAUACCCUGGUA
rnacentral:rRNA from 1 species